rnacentral:rRNA from 1 species
GAGUCUGACGGAGCACGCCGCGUGAGUGAUGAAGGUUUUCGGAUCGUAAAGCUCUGUUGUUAGGGAAGAACAAGUGCGAGAGUAACUGCUCGCACCUUGACGGUACCUAACCAGAAAGCCACGGCUAACUACGUGCCAGCAGCCGCGGUAAUACGUAGGUGGCAAGCGUUGUCCGGAAUUAUUGGGCGUAAAGGGCUCGCAGGCGGUUUCUUAAGUCUGAUGUGAAAGCCCCCGGCUCAACCGGGGAGGGUCAUUGGAAACUGGGAAACUUGAGUGCAGAAGAGGAGAGUGGAAUUCCACGUGUAGCGGUGAAAUGCGUAGAGAUGUGGAGGAACACCAGUGGCGAAGGCGACUCUCUGGUCUGUAACUGACGCUGAGGAGCGAAAGCGUGGGGAGCGAACAGGAUUAGAUACCCUGGUAGUCCACGCCGUAAACGAUGAGUGCUAAGUGUUAGGGGGUUUCCGCCCCUUAGUGCUGCAGCUAACGCAUUAAGCACUCCGCCUGGGGAGUACGGUCGCAAGACUGAAACUCAAAGGAAUUGACGGGGGCCCGCACAAGCGGUGGAGCAUGUGGUUUAAUUCGAAGCAACGCGAAGAACCUUACCAGGUCUUGACAUCCUCUGACAACCCUAGAGAUAGGGCUUUCCCUUCGGGACAGAGUGACAGGUGGUGCAUGGUUGUCGUCAGCUCGUGUCGUGAGAUGUUGGGUUAAGU